rnacentral:rRNA from 1 species
CACGUAGGCUGUAGUGUAAGUCAGGGGUGAAAUCCCACGGCUUAACCGUGGAACUGCCUUUGAUACUGCACAACUUGAGUCCGGGAGAGGGUGGCGGAAUUCCAGGUGUAGGAGUGAAAUCCGUAGAUAUCUGGAGGAACAUCAGUGGCGAAGGCGGCCACCUGGACCGGUAUUGACGCUGAGGUGCGAAAGCGUGGGGAGCAAACA